GGACGAACGCUGGCGGCGUGCUUAACACAUGCAAGUCGAACGAUGAAAGCGGGAGCUUGCUCCUGCUGGAUUAGUGGCGAACGGGUGAGUAACACGUGAGCAAUCUGCCCCGAACUCUGGGAUAAGCGUUGGAAACGACGUCUAAUACCGGAUACGACGCGCGAAGGCAUCUUCUGCGCGUGGAAAGAAUUUCGGUUCGGGAUGAGCUCGCGGCCUAUCAGCUAGUUGGUGAGGUAAUGGCUCACCAAGGCGACGACGGGUAGCCGGCCUGAGAGGGUGACCGGCCACACUGGGACUGAGACACGGCCCAGACUCCUACGGGAGGCAGCAGUGGGGAAUAUUGCACAAUGGGCGCAAGCCUGAUGCAGCAACGCCGCGUGAGGGACGACGGCCUUCGGGUUGUAAACCUCUUUUAGUAGGGAAGAAGCGAAAGUGACGGUACCUGCAGAAAAAGCACCGGCUAACUACGUG
rnacentral:rRNA from 1 species